UCCGCUGCCUCCUGGCCCUUCGCGGUGACGCCCCCGAGAGCGCCUCAUGAGCCUGCCCCGAGAGGCAGGAAGCUUCACCUCCAGGCCCAUGUGUGUUUGCUCAGGCUGCUCUCAGAUCCUAAACUGGGAGACCAGUGACGGAGAUGACCACAAAGCUACUUGGGGGACAAGGCGACUUACCACCUUGGAAAGCCCUGAGGUGAGAAAAUUGAAGUUUCAAGAGUUGAGGGCUUGGACAGUGUGCCUCACAGCCUCGGCCCAGGCGGUGAAAGCUGAGCUACCCCUCGCAACCAGGACAGUGUGCGGCGCACCCCUGCUGGGGGCUCAGGGCUUCUGCGUGGGCACAGUGGAAAAGACUGGGUGGAGAGUCACUGCCCCAGUUCUGCAGAGCUGAACUUGAUUGGACAUUCGGAAGCGGUCACUGAAAGGAAGUAGAAGACCCAUGGCAAUGAUCCAUGAGCAAAACUUCUCUGCUACCCCGGGACACCCAUUCUCCUGUUGGCCACACAGCUUCUGCAGCAGAGCUCACUCUGCAGAAGAAAAUGGUCAAUAGGAGGUCGCACUGGCAGGUCACUUGGCUCAGAAGUCUCCCAGAGGAGCGAGGUCUGGUAAGCACAGCCAGUGGGCAUCACCAUUGCCGAGGCUACUGA